AACCUUAUGCUUGUGAUGUGUGUGAAA
rnacentral:sRNA from 1 species